rnacentral:rRNA from 1 species
CACGUAGGGGGCAAGCGUUGUCCGGAUUUAUUGGGCGUAAAGAGCUCGUAGGCGGUUCGGUAAGUCAGGUGUGAAACCUCCAGGCUCAACCUGGAGACGCCACCUGAUACUGCUGUGACUCGAGUCCGGUAGGGGAGCGUGGAAUUCCUGGUGUAGCGGUGAAAUGCGCAGAUAUCAGGAGGAACACCAGCGGCGAAGGCGGCGCUCUGGGCCGGAAGCUGACGCUGAGGAGCGAAAGCGUGGGUAGCAAACAGGA